rnacentral:rRNA from 1 species
GAUGAACGCUAGCGGGAGGCUUAACACAUGCAAGUCGAGCGGCAGCACGGACUUCGGUCUGGUGGCGAGCGGCGCACGGGUGCGUAACGCGUAUGCAACCUGCCUUAUACAGGGGGAUAG